rnacentral:rRNA from 1 species
AUUGAACGCUGGCGGCAGGCCUAACACAUGCAAGUCGAGCGCGAAAGUUCUUCGGAAUGAGUAAAGCGGCGGACGGGUGAGUAAUACAUGGGAAUCUGCCUGGUAGUGGGGGACAACGUUUCGAAAGGAGCGCUAAUACCGCAUACGCCCUACGGGGAAAGGGGGGAGUCGCAAGACCUCUCGCUAUCAGAUGAGCCCAU